GACGAACGCUGGCGGCGUGCCUAACACAUGCAAGUCGAGCGGGGUUGAAGCGAGGGGUAACUCGGACUUCUACCUAGCGGCGGACGGGUGAGUAACGCGUGGGCAACCUGCCUCAAGGUUUGGGAUAACAGCUCGAAAGGGCUGCUAAUACCGGAUAUGCCUGUGGCCUCGCAUGGGGCUAUGAGCAAAGGGGAAACCCGCCUUGAGAUGGGCCCGCGUCCCAUCAGCUAGUUGGUGAGGUGAAGGCUCACCAAGGCGACGACGGGUAGCCGGCCUGAGAGGGUGACCGGCCACACUGGGACUGAGACACGGCCCAGACUCCUACGGGGGGCAGCAGUGGGGGAUCUUGCACAAUGGGCGAAAGCCUGAUGCAGCGACGCCGCGUGAGCGAAGAAGGCCUUCGGGUUGUAAAGCUCUGUCUGGAGGGACGAAACAAAUGACGGUACCUCCGGAGGAAGCCACGGCUAACUACGUG
rnacentral:rRNA from 1 species